rnacentral:tRNA from 1 species
UCCCUGGUAGUCCAGUAAGACUCUGAGCUUCUAAUGCAGGGGGCCCAGGUUUGAUCCUUGGUCAGGGAG